rnacentral:rRNA from 1 species
AUUGAACGCUGGCGGCAUGCCUUACACAUGCAAGUCGAACGCGAAAGCGGAGCAAUCCGCAAGUAGAGUGGCGAACGGGUGAGUAAUACAUCGGAACAUUUCCAGUAGCGGGGGAUAACCUGUCGAAAGAUAGGCUAAUACCGCAUACGCUCUACGGGGGAAAGCGGAGGACCGCAAGGCUUCGCACUAUUGGAGUGGCCGAUGUCGGAUUAGCUAGUUGGCGGGGUAAAAGCCCACCAAGGCUACGAUCCGUAGCUGGUCUGGGAGGACGAUCGGCCACAAUGGAACUGAGACACGGUCCAGACUCCUACGGGAGGCAGCAGUGGGGAAUUUUGGACAAUGGGCGCAAGCCUGAUCCAGCCAUGCCGCGUGAGUGAAGAAGGCCUUCGGGUUGUAAAGCUCUUUCGGUGGGGACGAAACGGUUCGUGCUAAUACCAUGAACUAAUGACGGUACCCGAAGAAGAAGCACCGGCUAACUACGUGCCAGCCGCCGCAGUAA